rnacentral:tRNA from 1 species
AGUUUCGUAGUAUAAGAAUACGUUGGAUUGCAAAUCCAAAGAAGGAGGUUGAUUUCUCCCGGGACUU